rnacentral:rRNA from 1 species
UACGUAGGGUCCAAGCGUUAAUCGGAAUUACUGGGCGUAAAGCGUGAGUAGGCGGUUUCGCCAGUCCGAUGUGAAAUCCCCGGGCUUAACCUGGGAACUGCGUUGGAAACUACGAGACUAGAGUGCGGCAGAGGGGGGUGGAAUUCCAGGUGUAGCAGUGAAAUGCGUAGAGAUCUGGAGGAACACCGAUGGCGAAGGCAGCCCCCUGGGCUAGCACUGACGCUCAUACACGAAAGCGUGGGGAGCAAACAGG